rnacentral:rRNA from 1 species
AUUGAACGCUGGCGGCAAGCCUAACACAUACAAGUCGCACGAGUGGCGGACGGGUGAGUAAUGUAUGGGAAACUGCCCGAUGGAGGGGGAUCCCUACUGGAAACGGUAGCUAAUACCGCAUACCAUCGGAUGUGCCCUGAUGGGAUUAGCUAGUAGUGGGGGUAACGGCUCACCUAGGCGACUAUCCCUAGCUUGUCUGAGAGGAUGACCAGCCACACGGGAACUGAGACACGGUCCAGACUCCGACGGGAGGCAGCAGUGGGGAAUAUUGCACAAUGGGCGCAAGCCUGAUGCAGCCAUGCCGCGGGUAUGAAGAAGGCCUUCGGGUUGUAAAGUACUUUCAGCGAGGAGGCGUUACUCGCAGAAGAAGCACAGGCUAACUCCGUGCCAGCAGCCGCGGUAAUUC